GCAUAUCAAUAAGCGGAGGAAAAGAAACCAACAGGGAUUGCCCUAGUAACGGCGAGUGAAGCGGCAACAGCUCAAAUUUGAAAUCUGGCUCUUUUAGAGUCCGAGUUGUAAUUUGCAGAGGGCGCUUUGGCUUUGGCAGCGGUCCAAGUUCCUUGGAACAGGACGUCACAGAGGGUGAGAAUCCCGUACGUGGUCGCUAGCUAUUGCCGUGUAAAGCCCCUUCGACGAGUCGAGUUGUUUGGGAAUGCAGCUCUAAAUGGGAGGUAAAUUUCUUCUAAAGCUAAAUAUUGGCCAGAGACCGAUAGCGCACAAGUAGAGUGAUCGAAAGAUGAAAAGCACUUUGGAAAGAGAGUCAAACAGCACGUGAAAUUGUUGAAAGGGAAGCGCUUGCAGCCAGACUUGCUUGCAGUUGCUCAUCCGGGCUUUUGCCCGGUGCACUCUUCUGCAGGCAGGCCAGCAUCAGUUUGGGCGGUGGGAUAAAGGUCUCUGUCACGUUCCUUCCUU
rnacentral:rRNA from 1 species